rnacentral:lncRNA from 1 species
AAAAGAUUGGAGGAUUUAAAGCUAGUUACCAAAAAAAUAGUAGAGAUUAAAAAAUAGGUUAAGAACCCAUAGAUCUGUAGUAAAACAAGAAGAAGUUCUUACUCACAAACGAAAAAUGGCCUGAGACAGGCUGAUAAAUAAAUGUUUCAAACCGAAACCAGUCGGGGUUCCCUUGGAAAGAUCAGAAGGAUCCAAGAAAUCGAAGAGUUAUGGCGUAUGGAAGACCAUGUCCGGUCGGAGAAGACAUAGAAACAUCAUAGGAGGGGUUCAUGCCAGUGACGCUCAUUAAGGUUUGAGUUUGGUCUCAGAGAGAAUUAUGAAAAGGAAG